AUUGAACGCUGGCGGCAGGCCUAACACAUGCAAGUCGAACGGAGUGGCGGACGGGUGAGUAAUGUCUGGGAAACUGCCUGGUAGUGGGGGAUAACGUCCGGAAACGGGCGCUAAUCCCGCAUCCUAUCAGAUGAGCCUAGGUCGGAUUAGCUAGUUGGUGGGGUAAAGGCCUACCAAGGCGACGAUCCGUAACUGGUCUGAGAGGAUGAUCAGUAACACUGGAACUGAGACACGGUCCAGACGCAUACGGAAGGAAGCAGUGGGGAAGAUUGGACAAUGGGCGAAAGCCUGAUCAAGCCAUGACGCGUGUGUGAAGAAGGUCUUCGGAUUGUAAAGCACUUGAAGUUGGGAGACGUUACCAACAGAAUAAGCACCGGCUAAAUUCGUGCCAGCAGCCGCGGUAAUUA
rnacentral:rRNA from 1 species